rnacentral:lncRNA from 1 species
AUGCGUUCUAAAAUGGCAGCGACUUGCUUGGCUGCAGCUACUUCGACUCUCAAGAAGGGUGGGGGUUUGAAGUCGAAAGUGCCCUCCGGCUUGAGUGAUUCUUUGGGGAUUGUGACAACAUCCCAGAAUUAUAUUCCCAAACUGUUACACAACCAUCAGUCUACAUCGGAUUCGAGGAUUUUUAGCAAGAGAGGAACCAUUGACAAAGCUGUUCUGGAUUCUCUACUUGGUGCUGUAAUUGGCCUGGGGACGGCAGCGGUGGCUGUCCCGGCCGCAGUUGGACUUCUGGGCUUCAGUAGUGCAGGAAUUGUGGUUGGUUCAAUUGGCGCCAAGAUGAUGUCUGCUGCCGCCAUUGCGAAUGGAGGCGGAGUGGCUGCUGGGGGUUUGGUUGCCACCCUGCAGUCCAUUGGGGCUGCAGGGGUGCCGACUGCUGUGACAGCAGCAACAACUGCCACAGGAGCAGUGCUGGGAGCCUUAAAGGACGUUUGCGGUUGAGGGACCAGAGAACAUCCCCCCCCUCUUCUCCAGAGGCCUGUCAAAGGCCUCUGAAGGAAAACCUGCUUGCAGUGGAAAUGGCUGGAUCUUCAUAGAGUGCUUGAAUGAUUAGUUUAGCCUGCUUUCUUGUGGACUUGUUCCACUGUUUGUCUUGUUCUAAUAAAAAUUCCUUAUAACUUUUCUGUGCCUCAGUUUAUAUGAAAUGUAACAGGAUGUCCACCUUGGUGGGUUUCCAUUCCUCAAGUUCACAAUUGCCUCUUUUCCAGCCCCAAGCCUCUCUUCUGAAGCUCAAAGCACUACAGAUGUGCAAGGUAAAAAGUAAAAACUUUUUCCCAAUCUCAUGGGAUCCAUUGGCCAGGUUUUCUCCCUUGUUGCUGCUGGACAUGGGCAAAAUAAAACUCUUUUCUAAAC